rnacentral:lncRNA from 1 species
AAAUAGAGAUUAUAGCUUCUUUAUGCAGGAACCGGAUUAUCAGGCGUGACUAAGAUAAUGAAAAGAACUUUUAUUAAAAAAUUCAAUUGAUUUAAAUCGUUUUACAGCGUAACCGAGCAAACGGCUUAGAUAGACCAUAAAAAAUUAUCAAAAAUGAGUUCAUUCCAUCAUAGCAUAACCGACUUUAAAAAAUCACCAAAUUUAGUUCCAAAGUAGCUAGUUCGAAUGCUCUAAAUCAAGUUUAACUAUGUCGAUCAUCGAUUCAAAUUUUGAAUCAUCGAAAACAACUUAAUAAGACAAAUGGCUUUGACCAAUUAGUAAAAUAGUAGCUG